rnacentral:rRNA from 1 species
AGCGAACGCUGGCGGCAGGCUUAACACAUGCAAGUCGAACGCAUCCUUCGGGGUGAGUGGCAGACGGGUGAGUAACACGUGGGAACGUACCCUUCGAUCUGGGAUAACUUCGGGAAACUGGAGCUAAUACCGGAUACGCCCUUUUGGGGAAAGGUUUACUGUCGAAGGAUCGGCCCGCGUCUGAUUAGCUAGUUGGUGGGGUAACGGCCUACCAAGGCGACGAUCAGUAGCUGGUCUGAGAGGAUGAUCAGCCACACUGGGACUGAGACACGGCCCAGACUCCUACGGGAGGCAGCAGUGGGGAAUAUUGGACAAUGGGCGCAAGCCUGAUCCAGCCAUGCCGCGUGAGUGAUGAAGGCCUUAGGGUUGUAAAGCUCCUUUGUCCGGGACGAUAAUGACGGUACCGGAAGAAUAAGCCCCGGCUAACUUCAUG